UUACCUCUUAGGGUUCCUCUGGGGUAAGUGAUUGCUUCUACACUGUGAAAAUUUGGCUGAGAGACUCAGACUGGUCAUGGGUAGACCUAUCUGGGGUUUGAUCGAUGCCACUCCUGGUUUCAGGAGCACCCUUCAUAAUAAACCUAGAAAUUCAGUAUUAUAAAGUUUAAUAAAAAACAACUUUUAACAAUGGAUCUCUUGGUUCUCGCAUCGAUGAAGAACGUAGCAAAGUGCGAUAACUAGUGUGAAUUGCAUAUUCAGUGAAUCAUCGAGUCUUUGAACGCAGCUUGCACUCUAUGGUUUUUCUAUAGAGUACGCCUGCUUCAGUAUCAUCACAAACCCACACAUAACAUUUGUUUAUGUGGUAAUGGGUCGCAUCGCUGUUUUAUUACAGUGAGCACCUAAAAUGUGUGUGAUUUUCUGUCUGGCUUGCUAGGCAGGAAUAUUACGCUGGUCUCAGGAUCUUUUUCUUUGGUUCGCCCAGGAAGUAAAGUACAAGAGUAUAAUCCAGCAACUUUCAAACUAUGAU
rnacentral:rRNA from 1 species